UACGGUAGGCAGCGAGCGAUUGUUCGGAGUUACUAGGGCGUAAACGUGCGUAGGCGGUGUCUUAAAGUUUGGUUGUACGAAAUCUCCCGGCUUAACCGGGAGGGUGCGGCGAAUACUGAGAUGCUGGAGUGCCGGAGAGGUAAGCGGAAUUCCUGGUGUAGCGGUGAAAUGCGUAGAUAUCAGGAGGAACACCUGCGGUGUAGACGACUUACUGGACGGGUAACUGACGCUGAGGCACGAAAGCGUGGGUAGCAAACAGG
rnacentral:rRNA from 1 species